AGCUUAUCAGCUACCUCUAUCCAUAUCCAAGAACAUCAAUGGUCGAGGUUUGCUUUGCUCUUUACCCCUUUUCGUUUUUUUUUUGUUUUGUUUUUUUUUUUGUUUGGGAUUUCUGAUUUUUUUUUGGUUAUAGGAAAAGAAGAAGAAACCAAAAGAAGUGACACAAUUUAUAUAGCGACGGUGGUUCGUGAUCUUCAAAUUGAAACAAGGAAUUAAGCCCUCUGUGGUUGGUGCUAAGAGGUCUGUUCUGAAUUGGGUAUUUGAUGGCACAUUGCAAUUGGAGAUUGAGCAUCGUUUGGUCAUGAUUUAGCAGUGAUUUUGGAGUUCCUGAGUUGUGCCAACGCUCCUAGCUUUAGGUAUGUAUAAUAUGACGGCAUUGAAGAUCUCAAAUUACUGCUUCUUAUCUUAGAUUUCAUUUUUGUAUUUUGGAACUUGAGUUGGAAUUGGAGAAGAGAGGUUUUUGGAUGAAGGACGGAACUGUGUUUCCGUGAUAGUUGGGUCGGUGGCUAGCCUUUUAAUUAG
rnacentral:lncRNA from 1 species